CAAUAAAAUUAGCUACUUUUUGUGUGUUAAAUAAAAUGUAAUACAACUUUAGCAUUACAAAAGUUUUUACAACAUAAAAAUGGUCAAAAUAAGACCUUGAAAAUACCGACAAGGUCUAAAUACAGCCAAGUAUUGAAUGUUGAUCAACAAAUAAUAAUAACAUUUGUAUGCAAAGAGAAUUGUGUUGAGCAUCUUCAGCAUUGUCAUCAGCAUCAUCAUCAGAUAUAUGAGUAGUGUGGUUCAUCAACCUGAUUUAAACGACAUUGGUGUUUAUUUGUAAGCAAGAGACAAGAUUCAAAGACGGACAAAUAUGGUGAGACCGGUCGUGCUCAAUCUGUCCCCACUGGAGAAUUCUCCAAGUCGACUACUUUGGACACACUUUCAAUGACACACCUCUGUUAGUUUUACACAGAAAGACUUGCUUCUCAAAUAGCGGCUAAAAGAGAAUUACAGGCUUGAUCAGAGGUCUCUCAAAAGGUCGUUUUUAUGUGAAAAAUUUUACUCAUGUAGUCGGCUUCAAUCUCGUUCCACAAGAUUUUCGAUAUUUUAUUUCUAUAAAAAAUAAAUAAAGAUUGUACAAAAAAUAAAAUAAGUGUUUUUAUCAUAUACAACGACAACAAUUAUUCAAUGAUUUAUAAUAUAUAACGACGACAAUUUAAGAAUUCAAAAAAUAAAAAAGCAACAUAUUUUUUAUAAUAUAAUUAUAAAAUUUUUUCAUAUAUUUUAUCGAACCUUGAAUAUAGUUUUAUAAAAAUCGACGUGAUGGUAAUUCUUUUGAAUGUCCUUAUGUCGAUGUUGAAUAUUAAAACUCAUCAUAGUCAUGAAUCUACAAUUAAUCAUUUUAUUUUUAUUUGUACACCAAGGAUUUACUUGAAGGCGCCACAUUAUUAUUUUUAUUUCUCAUAAACGUUUUAUAAAAUAAUUAUAAUGAUUAAU